AAAUUGAAGAGUUUGAUCAUGGCUCAGAUUGAACGCUGGCGGCAGGCCUAACACAUGCAAGUCGAGCGGAAACGAGUUAUCUGAACCUUCGGGGAACGAUAACGGCGUCGAGCGGCGGACGGGUGAGUAAUGCCUAGGAAAUUGCCCUGAUGUGGGGGAUAACCAUUGGAAACGAUGGCUAAUACCGCAUGAUGCCUAGGGCCAA
rnacentral:rRNA from 1 species